GUGGGGAAUAUUGGGCAAUGGACGCAAGUCUGACCCAGCAACGCCGCGUGAAGGAAGAAGGCUUUCGGGUUGUAAACUUCUUUUGCCAGGGAAGAGAAGAAGACGGUACCUGGCGAAUAAGCCACGGCUAACUACGUGCCAGCAGCCGCGGUAAUACGUAGGUGGCAAGCGUUGUCCGGAUUUACUGGGUGUAAAGGGCGUGCAGCCGGGCGCUUAAGUCAGAUGUGAAAUCCGCGGGCUUAACCCGCGAACUGCAUUUGAAACUGAGCGUCUUGAGUAUCGGAGAGGUCAUCGGAAUUCCUUGUGUAGCGGUGAAAUGCGUAGAUAUAAGGAAGAACACCAGUGGCGAAGGCGGAUGACUGGACGACAACUGACGGUGAGGCGCGAAAGCGUGGGGAGCAAACAGG
rnacentral:rRNA from 1 species